ACUUCGUGGUCCGCUCCCAGUUUGGUUGCUCGCGGAGCUGCUCUGUGUGUUGCCGCAUCUCCUUUUCCUCGCGACGUGGAGUGCUUCGGAUCCUCCGAGGAAGCUGAAUCUAUCUCAGGGAUGCCGUGAAGGAAGUCGCCGAAGAAGACCCACAAUUCUGUAGCUCCGUCGGGGUCUGUGCGAGCUCGUUCGGUCCAGAAUUCGCCUUCUUCUGUGCAUUCGGGAGGCUCACCGUUGCUAGGCAGCAGGGGGAGCAAGAGACCGAUACUAUGUCGCAGCAUCCUGUGUGGGUGACCCGGCUUGCUCUUGGCGGUGCAGCGCUGCUCGUGUUCGGUGUCACAACAUAUGACAUACACCGGUCCAUCGAAGCAAACCAGACCCCACCCACAAAGGAACAAGUCGCUGCACUGGGUGCUCAGAUUAAGGAGUCAAGGCAAUCGGACGAGCCUUCCAACCGGUCUACCUGAGGUUAUGUAACCACAGAUUUGUAGUUACAGGCGAAGUAGUUGGAUUUCGGAUGAUGGUCGCAGUGGAUUUUUUGAACUCUUGACAGAUCAAUUUUUGUAAACCUCGGCCAGCACUUUCGAAGAGUAGCACCGAAUCAAAUUGUGGUAAAUCGAUUGCUCUCACCGCACAGUUGUAAUGGUGACUGCAGAUGUUCACUUGUGCUCAUUUAUGCUUGAUAGGUAUUGUUCAGUCACUUAGCUAGUGCAUCUUCCUUCACGUAGAAAAUCAGCACUGAUCAGGCAGGCAGACAGGCAGGCAGAUGUGGGUCUGUAUUCCGAACGAGCUCCACUGCACAUUGGUAAAACCCUAGAAUGUCCUUUCAUUAGAUAUUUCUCUAUUCAACCAUCGUCUCGGAUACCUAGAUAUCCAUGAAAACCAAUGUUUUUUUUAUCAGA